rnacentral:rRNA from 1 species
UACAGGGCGAAUGUCUUGUAAUUGGAAUGAUGGUGACCCAAACCCUCACCAGCAGUAGCAAUUGGAGGGCAAGUCUGGUGCCUGCAGCCGCGGUAAUUCCAGCUCCAAUAGCGUAUAUUAAACUUGUUGCAGUUAAAAAGCUCGUAGUUGUAUUUUUGCGUUAGCGGUUUGACCAUUUGGUUGGUUAUUUCGUUUUCGCUUUUGGGAAUUUCCCUUUUUACUUUGAGAAAAUUAGAGUGUUUCAAGCAGACUUUUGUCUUGAAUACUUCAGCAUGGAAUAAUAGAGUAGGACUUUGGUUCUAUUUUGUUGGUUAUUGAACCUUAGUAAUGGUUAAUAGGAACG